rnacentral:rRNA from 1 species
UUGGGAAUCUUGCACAAUGGGGGAAACCCUGAUGCAGCGACGCCGCGUGGAGGACGAAGGCCUUAGGGUCGUAAACUCCUUUUGCACGGAAAGACUUAGGACGGUACCGUGCGAAUAAGCCCCGGCUAACUACGUGCCAGCAGCCGCGGUAAGACGUAGGGGGCAAGCGUUGUCCGGAUUUACUGGGCGUAAAGCGCUCGUAGGCGGUCUGUUAAGUGAGAAGUGAAAUCUCCAGCGCUCAACGCGGAAAUUGCUUUUCAUACUGGCAGACUGGAGGAAUGCAGAGGUAAGUGGAAUUCCCGGUGUAGCGGUGACAUGCAUUGAUAUCGGGAGGAACACCAAUGGCGAAGGCAGCUUACUGGGCAUUUCCUGACGCUGAGGAGCGAAAGCGUGGGUAGCAAACAGA